UGCGUGUGUCUGAAGAGCACAACUAUUCUACAUAUGAAAACUGAGUUGGCGCGCUGGCAACCAUUUUAAAUUUAAAGUCGAACGGGCUUUCAGUUCUUUUCUCCGUAUCAAAGUUGUAAACCAAAUUAGCUUUAUUGCCAGAAUAGGGUUCGAUUCACUGGCAGCACCACUGUUCGCGCAAUAGGCUGCACACAAAUACAGCUGUUUCCUCAUGCCAUAAUCCUAUGAAAACUUAAUAGACCUUUGCUUUCAAAACCAAGACCCGGCGCGCCAAUAAACAUGCAUCGUUAUCUUUUUUCAAACAAAUAUCGCUCAGCCAAUCAACACACAUGGUAAAAUAAUAAAAGCAACAAAAAGGAACGAAAUGUAUAGAAAACAAAACAAGACAUAUUAAAUAAGACGCGAAAUACAGGCAAUACACCACCUUGCAUUAUAUCAUCAUGGAAGGCACCAAUAUCGUCCCGACAAUAUAAACAUCAUAUUCGAACCUCAUCUUAGACUCUGAUAUGCCAAAAACGCUUUCAGCAUGUUGAAAAAUGGGUAUAAACAACAGGCGAAAACAGCGAAGGGAAAUUUCAUGGCUCGUACGAACCUCACCUCACCGUGCUUGAUCAAGAAUAUGCUAUGAGAACGGACUUUCUGUUUGCUGCAUGGUAUGUUAGGCAGAAG
rnacentral:sRNA from 1 species